rnacentral:rRNA from 1 species
UACGUAGGAGGCGAGCGUUGUCCGGAGUUACUGGGCGUAAAGGGUGCGCAGGCGGCGGUUCGCGUGGAUAGGUGAAAUCUCCUGGCUUACCUGGGAGGAUGGUAUCCAGACGGGAUCGCUUGAGGGUCGGAGAGGGGCGUGGAAUUCCGGGUGGAGCGGUGAAAUGCGUAGAGAUCCGGAGGAACACCGACGGCGUAGGCAGCGCCCUGGACGACACCUGACGCUGAGGCACGAAAGCUGGGGGGAGCGAACAGG